rnacentral:lncRNA from 1 species
UCAUUAUUGGGUGUUGAUGUCAUCUAGAUUGUUGGAUCGGAUGGGAUCUGUUGAUAUGCGUCCUUAUUAUCAGUUUGUGCAUCUUCAGGUAGGCGUGGCACGAAGAUCCAUUGUCUAUUGACAUCAUGGGACAUGUCAGAGUUUUGAUUUUUAGGGUGUAGUUAGUGGCGAGGAAUGUCAUAGCGGCUGAGAUUUGAGGACUAGUAACGACGGAAGGAGUCUUCGAGGCGAUGAAGAUUGUACUAUGUGAUUUAUGACUAGCAAUGGCGGCGGCAGCAAGUGGGGUGACAACAUUGGAGGAGUACAAAGAGUUAUCUUUCAGGGUAAAAAUCAAAGGUGUGACCUUUGUUGGUUGUAUGUGACAACGGCCUUUUUAAAGGCAUUGUUUUGAGAGCGCGAACUUUCUUUAGGGUGAAAACCAAAGAUUUGUUAUCAGGCGACGACAUCGCUUAUGUAGUGUGUUCUUCUUGAAGGCAUGACUUUUGGAAAAUUUGGACUUUGGGUGUUGUCUUUGGUAGUAGUUUGCUCUGCAGCUGUAAGGAAUUAAUCACUAUGGCGGACC